ensembl:lncRNA LINC01844 long intergenic non-protein coding RNA 1844
GGGAAUAGAUGACGUGUCAAAGAUUGACAUCAACCUUGAGUGCUUAUUUGUGGACUUGAGAUACAGAUAAAAAAAAAAAAAAAAAAACCUCCCUAGAGUGAGGGCUACUUGGGAUACAUGCUAUAUCCCAAGGAGUUCUCAGUUUGAGGUCAGCCCCAGCUCUACAACUCACCAGGAGAGUGCGCGAGGAUGAGGGAGAGACAGCCUGCUCUGGUUCUCUUCAAGGUGACAAUGACACCUGUUGACAGAUGAGAAUUCCAGCCAGGAAUACAGAUUUAGGAAUCAUGUUUCUCACUCUCAUGAUGACAUAGAAGAGAUGCGUCUGAAUCUUUCUGCCAGUGUGUUAAAGUUAUUCUGAUAUUGACUGUAGUUCUGAGCUUUGUCUCUAUCCCACCAAACCACUAACUUCUGGAAAUUACUUGUAGACCAAGAUGGGAGGACUCCGUGUGUGGCUCCAUAUGAAUGACUUAUCGUGCCUGUCCAGAGUCAGGGAAAGGAGAAACAAUCUUAUUUGAGAAGGGAGGAUAUCACUGCAGUGGUUGUGAAAUCGUGUUUGGAAGCUAGAUUGCUCUAGACCACUAAGCACACUGGGCAUCCUUCUCUCAUUGCACUGUGAAGUUCAGGUCCUCUGGCUGUCACUCAGACUCCCUUGUGAGUUCCUUGAAGGUGUGGGCAUGUCUCGUUCAUCCUUGGCUCCCCAGUGCCUAGUCCAGCACCCGAAGCAUAGUAAGAUUUCAAUAAAUGUCUGCUCUCUUCAUGUGACAAAGAAACUUCCUAAAAUACUAAAAGCUAAAGGAGAUUGUUAUCUAAGCUUGAGAUGGAAGGUUGCCAGCGGAAACUUGGAGGAUCACAGCCAGUCGCCUGGGAUUGACCACAGGGAGUGGCAGAGGCAGAAAGCAAAAGACCAGUUGCAAUUAUCCAGGUAAAAGAUGGAGGCUGUUGCAAUAAUCCAGAAUCCUGAAUUGAGCCUGUGUUCCCAGUUCCUAGAAACCCUCAAGGUUAUUGGUUUCCUCCUCGCUUAAUAGACCAGUGGAAGAAAUCUACCUCCAGUUCUAUCUUCACAUGAGCAACUGUUUACAGUUUACAAUAUUACUCUGAAAAUCAGUUCUUUUCAAGUUUUAUCUAACACCCACCAGAAGAAACAGAAGAUUAUGAAAAUGGAAUUUGUCAAAGUUCCUCUCCCAACAAUAUGAUAUUUAAUUUUGCUAACAUUUUUUUUUGAACACUUACUAUAUUGCAGACAAUGGUCUAAGUAAAGCAUUUUAUGUGCAUCCUAUCAUGUCAUCAUCACACAGCCCUGUGAGGUAGAUACUAUUAUUAUUAACCACAUUUCACAUUCAAAAAAACUGAGGCUUAGAGAGACUAAGUAAAUUGUCCAAGGUCACACAGCCAUGAAGUGGCAGAGCUGUGGUUAAAACCUAUGUCUGUCUGAUGUUUAAGAUUUUGCUGUUAGCAUUACUUUGAAAUGACAAUAUGAGGGCAUUUUAUGUAUUUUUUUUGCCCCAAUAUGAUCUGCAGAAACUAUGUAUUUUAAGUACUACAUUUCUUUUAUUUACCAAAUUAUUGUCAGAUAAGAAACCGAAAUAAAAGUUUACAGGGUC